rnacentral:lncRNA from 1 species
AUGGCCACGAAUGAAGGUUUUCGCACAGAUUGGUGGAAACGCAGCGAUAAUCAACGCUCUUCAGAGCCGAAGCAUCUUCCGGCUCUUUCUUUUCCUGCCUUCUUUUGGGCACCGCGGUGGCCUUCAGAGUAUCAAAGAGGAGCAAAUCAUGCCCAGGCACGUACUGAGCUCUGCCCUCCCAAACGGGAGGUGCCAGGCUGCAAGAGAGGAGCCAGAGUGCCAGCUGGGCAGCUGCAUUUGGAAAUAUCAGUACCUGAGCAUCAGGUUCAGAUAAGAGGCAAUUUGCGAUUGUCACACAUUUUCUACCUUUUCCAUUUUAUUUUUUUGUGCAUGGU